rnacentral:lncRNA from 1 species
GGACCCUUCUUUAGUUUGGGCAUUCAGACUUAAAGUGUCUCGAUUUCUUGCAUUCAUAACAAAUAAGGGGUUGGUCUUUUUCUUUCUCUUUGCUAUGUUCCCCUUUUGUAGGUGAUCUCUUCCUCAUUUCUUGUCUCAUUUUCUUCAAAAAUUUCUUAAACCUUCUAGUAAUGAGAGCCAUUUCUUCAUCUUGCUCUUCAUUUUCUGUAUCAUCAGUUUUCUCAUCAGGUUGAGCAGUUGAUUUGAGGGCGAUUAUCCUCUUCUUUUUGACAUCUUCUUCUUGAUGUUG